AGUGAACGCUGGCGGUAGGCCUAACACAUGCAAGUCGAACGGCAGCACAGGAGAGCUUGCUCUCUGGGUGGCGGGUGGCGGACGGGUGAGGAAUACAUCGGAAUCUACUCUGUCGUGGGGGAUAACGUAGGGAAACUUACGCUAAUACCGCAUACGACCUACGGGUGAAAGCAGGGGACCUUCGGGCCUUGCGCGAUUGAAUGAGCCGAUGUCGGAUUAGCUAGUUGGCGGGGGAAAGGCCCACCAAGGCGACGAUCCGUAGCUGGUCUGAGAGGAUGAUCAGCCACACUGGAACUAAGACACGGUCCAGACUCCUACGGGAGGCAGCAGUGGGGAAUAUUGGACAAUGGGCGCAAGCCUGAUCCAGCCAUACCGCGUGGGUGAAGAAGGCCUUCGGGUUGUAAAGCCCUUUUGUUGGGAAAGAAAUCCAGCUGGCUAAUACCCGGUUGGGAUGACGGUACCCAAAGAAUAAGCACCGGCUAACUUCGUGCCAGCCGCCGCGGUAA
rnacentral:rRNA from 1 species